rnacentral:lncRNA from 1 species
UGUUCUUAAAAACAAGCCACCAAGGUGGCAUGAACAGCUCCAGUGCUGGUGUUUGAACUUCAGGGGACGUGUAACAGUCGCAUCGGUUAAGAACUUUCAGCUGAUUGCAGCAAACCAGCCUCAGCCUCAGCCUCAGCCUCAGCCUCAGCCUCAGCCUCAGACGUCAGGUCAGACAGAUGGUCCAGACAAGAUCAUAUUACAGUUUGGGAAAGUGGGAAAGGACAUGUUCACUAUGGAUUUUAGGUAUCCACUCUCUGCGUUUCAGGC